AGUGGGGGAUAUUGCACAAUGGAGGAAACUCUGAUGCAGCGACGCCGCGUGAGUGAAGAAGGCCUUCGGGUCGUAAAGCUCUGUCCUAGGGGAAGAUAAUGACGGUACCCUAGGAGGAAGCCCCGGCUAACUACGUGCCAGCAGCCGCGGUAAUACGUAGGGGGCGAGCGUUGUCCGGAAUUACUGGGCGUAAAGAGUUCGUAGGCGGUCUGAUAAGUCAGAUGUGAAAGGCGUAGGCUUAACCUGUGUAAGCAUAUGAAACUGUCAGACUUGAGGUAAGGAGAGGAAAGUGGAAUUCCUAGUGUAGCGGUGAAAUGCGUAGAAAUCAGGAGGAAUACCAGUGGCGAAGGCGGCUUUCUGGACUGACCCUGACGCUGAGGUGCGAAAGCGUGGGUAGCAAACAGGAUUAGAUACCCUGGUAGUCCACGCUGUAAACGAUGGAUACUAGGUGUGGGAGGUAUCGACCCCUUCCGUGCCGGAGCUAACGCAAUAAGUAUCCCGCCUGGGGAGUACGGUCGCAAGGCUGAAACUCAAAGGAAUUGACGGGGGCCCGCACAAGCGGUGGAGCAUGUGGUUUAAUUCGAUGCAACGCGAAGAACCUUACCAGGCCUUGACAUCCUACGAAUCCUUAGGAAACUAGGGAGUGCCUUCGGGAGCGUAGAGACAGGUGGUGCAUGGUUGUCGUCAGCUCGUGUCGUGAGAUGUUGGGUUAAGUCCGCAACGAGCGCAACCCUUGCUAUUAGUUGCUAACAGGAGAGCUGAGCACUCUAAUGGGACUGCCCGUGACAAGCGGGAGGAAGGUGGGGAUGACGUCAAAUCAUCAUGCCCUUUAUGGUCUGGGCUACACACGUGCUACAAUGGGCGGUACAGAGAGCAGCGAAGCUGUGAAGUGGAGCGAAUCUCAAAAAGCCGUUCUCAGUUCGGAUUGCAGUCUGCAACUCGACUGCAUGAAGUCGGAAUCGCUAGUAAUCGCGAAUCAGCACGUCGCGGUGAAUCCGUUCCCGGGCCUUGUACACACCGCCCGUCACACCACGAAAGCUGGCAACACCCGAAGCCGGUGACUCAACUCGGGGUACCUGCGUAAGCGGGUCGAGAGAGAGCCGUCUAAGGUGGGGUUAGUGAUUGGGGUG
rnacentral:rRNA from 1 species